UACGUAGGGACCAAGCGUUGUUCGGAUUUACUGGGCGUAAAGGGCGCGUAGGCGGCGCGGUAAGUCACUUGUGAAAUCUCUGAGCUUAACUCAGAACGGCCAAGUGAUACUGCAGUGCUAGAGUGCAGAAAGGGCAAUCGGAAUUCUUGGUGUAGCGGUGAAAUGCGUAGAUAUCAAGAGGAACACCUGAGGCGAAGGCGGGUUGCUAGGCUGACACUGACGCUGAUGCGCGAAAGCCAGGGGAGCAAACGGGG
rnacentral:rRNA from 1 species